AAUAUCUUGCAUGUUACAGAUUUCACUACUCCCACCAGCUUGGAGACAACAUGUGGUUCUUGACAACUCUGCUCCUUUGGGUUCCAGUUGAUGGGCAAGUGGACACCACAAAGGCAGUGAUCACUUUGCAGCCUCCAUGGGUCAGCGUGUUCCAAGAGGAAACCAUAACCUUGCACUGUGAGGUGCUCCAUCUGCCUGGGAGCAGCUCCACACAGUGGUUUCUCAAUGGCACAGCCACUCAGACCUCGACCCCCAGCUACAGAAUCACCUCUGCCAGUGUCAAUGACAGUGGUGAAUACAGGUGCCAGAGAGGUCUCUCAGGGCGAAGUGACCCCAUACAGCUGGAAAUCCACAGAGGCUGGCUACUACUGCAGGUCUCCAGCAGAGUCUUCAUGGAAGGAGAACCUCUGGCCUUGAGGUGUCAUGCGUGGAAGGAUAAGCUGGUGUACAAUGUGCUUUACUAUCGAAAUGGCAAAGCCUUUAAGUUUUUCCACUGGAAUUCUAACCUCACCAUUCUGAAAACCAACAUAAGUCACAAUGGCACCUACCAUUGCUCAGGCAUGGGAAAGCAUCGCUACACAUCAGCAGGAAUAUCACAAUACACUGUGAAAGAGCUAUUUCCAGCUCCAGUGCUGAAUGCAUCUGUGACAUCCCCACUCCUGGAGGGGAAUCUGGUCACCCUGAGCUGUGAAACAAAGUUGCUCUUGCAGAGGCCUGGUUUGUAGCUUUACUUCUCCUUCUACAUGGGCAGCAAGACCCUGCGAGGCAGGAACACAUCCUCUGAAUACCAAAUACUAACUGCUAGAAGAGAAGACUCUGGGUUAUACUGGUGCGAGGCUGCCACAGAGGAUGGAAAUGUCCUUAAGCACAGCCCUGAGUUGGAGCUUCAAGUGCUUGGUGAGAAUGACGGGAAGCCACUGGCACAGAAGAAGGGACUCCCUUAUCUCCCAUGGGACUGAGGUUUGUUCAAGGGUUUUUGGCCCAGACAAGAGGGGAAAGUCUCUUCAGGAAAAGCCCACAAGCAGGCCUUUCCAUCCUUGAUUCACAACAUCACUCUUCUCCUCGCAAACUGUUAAAUUUCCUUUCCUUUCUUUUUCUUUUUCCUUUGCCUUUCCUUCCUCUAUUUCUUUCCUUCCUCCAUUUCUUUCCUUCAUUUUCUCCUCUGUCCUUCUUUUCUUCUCCUUCAUUUUAUUUUCCCCUCCCUCCCACUCUUCCCUCCACUCCAUGACCCCUCCUUCUCUCUCUCUCUCUCUCCCUGCUUCCCUGCCUCCCUCCUCCUCACCAACAAUCUCACCAACAAUUUAUCAAGUUCUUCCUAUCUGUUGUCAUACGUCUGGGGAUAUAAAGACAUUUGAGUAUAGUUCUUGCUUCAAGGAGCUCACAAGGUGGAUUUAUCAGACAGUGAUUUUGUAAACUGCAAAUCACCACCUCCCCAAGUAUCUCUGUUUAACUGAGGCAGAGGGAUUGUGAGCUCUAGAACAAAGUCUCCUUGGGGGGGAAAAAAGUUCAUCUUCAACCCAAAUUCAUUUCAAGUAUUAAAUGGCACAGAGAUAUCAGUUGUCUCUGGAACUAGGGAGUAAG
ensembl:lncRNA FCGR1BP Fc gamma receptor Ib, pseudogene